AGGACGAACGCUGGCGGCGUGCUUAACACAUGCAAGUCGAACGGUGAAGGAGAGCUUGCUCUCCGGAUCAGUGGCGAACGGGUGAGUAACACGUGAGUAACCUGCCCUUGACUCUGGGAUAAGCGUUGGAAACGACGUCUAAUACCGGAUACGAGCUUCAGCCGCAUGGCUAGGAGCUGGAAAGAUUUCGGUCAAGGAUGGACUCGCGCUAUCAGCUAGUGUGAGGUAAUGGCUCACCAAGGCGACGACGGGUAGCCGGCCUGAGAGGGUGACCGGCCACGACUGGGACUGAGACACGGCCCAGACUCCACGGGAGCAGCAGUGGGAUAUGCACAAUGGCGCAAGCCUGA
rnacentral:rRNA from 1 species